rnacentral:rRNA from 1 species
UACGUAGGGGGCGAGCGUUGUCCGGAGUUACUGGGCGUAAAGGGCGCGCAGGCGGUCUGCUAAGUUCGGAGUGACAGUCACCAGCUUAACUGGUGAAGGACUUUGAAAACUGGCGGACUUGAGAGCGAGAGAGGGACACGGAAUUCCGGGUGGAGCAGUGAAAUGCGUAGAGAUCCGGAGGAACACCAAGGCGAAGGCAGUGUCCUGGUUCGUUUCUGACGCUGAGGCGCGAAAGCCAGGGGAGCGAACGGG